GAAGACGAGUCGUGGCCCAUGACGUCAUGUCCUUUCCGAUCCGUGGCCCGGGAAACUUGCUUUCCGGUUACCUCCGCCGCCGCCUGGAUUAGUCACUUGCGGAAGCGGCGGAGCUCAGCGGCGAUUCUCGUGCGCGAGGAGGGCUGAGCGGAACCGGCGAAAGAUGGAGUUCCUUAUGCAGAUUAAGAGGGCCACCGUGCUGGAACCUGGAAGAGGUGAACGACAGCGAUAUUCAGUUGGAGCCGCUGCACUACUCGGUGGCGCGGCCGAUUGAGGAGCCGCUGGCGCCUAUGGUGGAGGUGAAUGCGGACGGCCAGAUCUGUGCGGCGGAAGGGGCGACGGAUGUAGUCCGAGAAGGGUCGCCGAGAGCGUUGGAGCACUCCAUUGGACAGAUCGACCCUAGAGCUCCUGGGUGGAAAAGAAGGUAUGUCAGUUCAGCAGAACCACAAAAUUUGUGCGACGAAUUAUUAUGGCAUGAUUUGAAAUAAGCUGAGCAUGCAAAAUGUGACAGGGAGGGGUCCCUAUGAGUUGGUACUGCCUGAACUACUAGGUGUGUGGCCAUGUAAAUAUAGAUGCAGGGCUGACUGAUCUGUUAGUACAUGCUUCUGAAAUUCAGAAGAAGAAUAGACUGGGCAUUGCGUGAUUUAUGGUUUGAAGUAAUUACCAUGUUUCUCGAAUAUGAAGUAAUUACCAUGUUGCCGCUAGUGUGUGAAAUCAGGAAAUUGUUAUUAACAAAGUUGUGAAAUCGGUGAUUGUGCAGCUAAACCAAAAGUAGAAGAGCAGGGGCAAGAAAUGUUAUUAUUCGAGCACUAUUACACUGCAAAAAGUGAUGUGUCGGGUGCUUGCAAAUGUUUGCUAGUGUUUUCUAUAAAACUAUCCAUGAAAUUCGUAUCAGUUUGUGGGAUUUGCUUGGUUGCAGAGUGAGGGUAGGUGCUGCUCCGCCGGGAAAGACGCCAUGUCCUAAUCGGACUACUGCUCUGGAGAAGACUAUAUGUGGUUUUGCCAACAAUGCUGGGCAGUGGCGGAGCUACACAAAAAUAGUUGGGCGGGCGAGGCAAACAAGUGCACGUUUUUUUUCAAAAUUACGAUGAAUCGUGCUACUUCAUUAGACAUGAGUCAGUUCUCAAUAAUUUUUUAACUAGAUCAGCAAAUAUAUACGCACGGCAAGACCGUCGUCGCUUGGGUGCGCGAAUGUGCGGUGGAUGAUGUUGGCCAGCUAGUGGCCUCUGAUGCUUGCUGUGCCGCUGCUGCUCGGCUGCUCCUUGUGGCCAAUAAUUACUGCUCCAUUCCUGGCGUCGUGCGAAUCUCUCACUAAAUGGAGCGUAAUGGGGAUUAGGGGCCUAGGUGGUGUCUGCCAGUAGACCAGGCUUAUGAGCUACCGAUGCGUAUGAAAGAAAAAACAUACAGAUCCUGGGCAGGCCGCGGCCACUUUGGCCUUGCCGUAGCUCCGCCACUGAUCCUGGGGAUAAUGUCAUAGUGGCAACUUUGGGUGCAAGCUUUGAUUCUCUUGGUGAAGCCUACGAUUCCUACGACUUGUAUUCGGGGGAGAAAGGAUCUGACAUAAGAUACGGCAAGAGUAGGCUAAAUGUGGAGAGGACAAAAUGCAUGCAGGAGAUUGUUUGUGGUUGUGCGGGGAAGGCGGGGGUUGAGAACACAUGGCCGUGCCGUUGUGAAUGCCCUGCUCUCAUCAGGUUGUUGUGGUCCAAGGCCAAUGGCUAGUACAUAGCAGAACACUCUGAGGAGCACAACCGCUUGGACCGGAAGACAUGAUUGCCGAAAAUGGUGAUGUCAUGAACCAAAUUCAGACUGAAUGGGCACUUGUUGUUACUGGGGACAGAUGAAAAAAUAGCCUUCACAACGAUGAUGUUAAUUCAGCAGAUGACUCUGGGAACAGAUUGGCAGGACUAUUGACACAGGCAAAAAGGAAUGAGAUGGGCAGGCCUACGACCAGCAGAGAGAAAGCGACUUACGAUGGGUUGAGCAAGAGGACCAGGUUCUGCACCAUUUGCUGGCAACAGGGGCACAAAAGGACUACGUGCCCAGACCGCGGAGAUGUACCAAAGCAGGUUAGAAGUCCUGCUCGAUGCAAGAACUGUGGAGUCAAAGGUCACCACUCACCGGCGGAACAAUUGCAACGAAGCAGCAGAGCUACGUCUGAAAGUGAGACUGAAAAAAUAGGGAUGUACCUGAGACAGUACUUGCAUGGUUAGGAUAUAUGGUGUAUGCGUAUGACAAUUUCCAGAUAGUGCGGACUGAUUUGUUGUAGCCUGUGUCUCGUGGUAAAGAUUUAAAAUUUCCUUUGCAUGUGUAGAUCGACAAGUGUGUCUCAAUGUAUUCCUUGAACUUCCUGUGCGGAACUUGUCUGAAUAAAUAGUUUGUGGUCCGAAUAACUGUACUGAAUGUGUUGUGAAUAGGGCUGUGUUUUGA